AGUGGUAUUUUAAUAGUUAAUUCCUCACAUUUUGCUUAGUUAAUUCCUUAACGAAUCGAUUUUUAACUCAAUUUCUAUUUUCUUAGGUACAUUGGAGUAAAUGAUGGUGAAAUGAGCAUUAGGUCCACACUUACCUAUAAAUGGUGGAGAAAAAUGGAAAUGUACUAAAAUGUCAAUUUUACACAUUUCCUACUCCGGCUAGGAGAAACCAAGCCAAGCAAGGAAGAAGGAGCGGCCGCCGGACCAAAUGAACUUCAAAUGAGCUGAAACUUUCCAGAUCCAUUCUACACAUCCUAAGGAUCAUUUCUUAUGAAGAGUGCCAGAGCUAUAAUUGAGUGGAAGGCCUUCAAACAGUCAGCCCAAUUUCCUGCAGAAGCAAAACUGGAAAACUGGACCUGUAAGAGGUCCAGCAGCAUUUCCAGCCCAAAGGCAUGGAAAUAAAUUCUGAAAUUUUACCAAAAUGAUCUACACUCAUGGUAGAUCAUUUCAUAUGAAGAAGUCACGAGCCAAAACUGAAUUCCUGUUGGAGAAAUAAUUGAAGGAAUAAAAGGGCAGAAACUGACCUAAAACAGCUCAACACCACAUGUUCAAGUUUCCUACCCACAUGAAGAAAGCUAGAUGCUUUUCUCUUUUUCCUUGGAUAUAUUUUUCUGCUCCAAUAGAUCAUCAUCACUUCCAUACUUCUGCACCUUCAUGCCUUGCUUUCAUUUCAUCAUUACUCCAUCUUUUCCAUAUUUUACAAACCACUUUCAUUAUUUUUCUUCCAUUUAUCAUUUCACUCUUCUUUUUCUUCCCUAUAUAAACACCUUCUCCUCUCACUCUAAGUACCUUCCUUCAUCCAUUUCAUCUUCUUUGUCUCUCCAUUUCCAUUCCAUUUUUCUCUCCAUUCUCUAGUUGCAAAAUUCUGCGUUUUCAAGUAAGAAGAAGAAGAAGAAGAAGGAGCCGGGAAUAUCAUAUCCUCCAUCGUCCACCUUGAAGGCUUGCUUCCAAGAUUCAAGAUUUCAACGUUUCAAGCACUCCAUCUCCAUCUCCAACUCACGGUGUGUACCCUCAAUCCCCGGAAUAGAACGAUCCCUAUUUGCUUAUACUACUAACGAUGUUUUCAGGGUUAAAUUAUGCGCUUGCUUUGAGCGUAUCAAUUUUUGGCGCCGUUGCCGGGGAAUUGAAAAAUCACUUGUUUUUGUUUAUAAUUAUUGUAUAUAAACUGUUUGAAACUUAGUUAAUUAAUUAACUAGGUUGUUUUUUUUAUUGUUGAAUACGAGUUUAAUUGUGAGUUGUAAAUUAAAGAAGGAAUAGGUGAAGUCGUGUUUAUUAAUAUUGGCCUAAACCCUUUAUUGGUACCUAGUUCAGGUCCCUUAAGGUUGAGGGCGGCCUUUAUUAACAUUCAUUGAACUGUCUAACACACUUAGGACCUUUUACAUCCUAGUAAGAAUAUCCUAUGUGAGAUGGUGCCUAGGAAGGGGAUAACGUUCAUGACGGGUUUUUGAAUCCAGAAGUGCUUAUAAAUGGGCUUAGCUCAUGCCAAAAUGGAUUUUUCCUCUCGUGUUCACCCUCCCCUACCUGGCCAUUUCAGUAAGGUUGCCCAACGGAUGUAGGAGGGACUUUGUGUCUAGACGACUAUACUUGGGCCGCACGUCCACUUGAUUUACCGCUUGGAAUUAGAUUUGAUAUCAAUAAUGUUUAUAACAAAAGAAAUACUUGUGCAUACUCUUUACGUGUAAAUUAUUUUGUUGUUUCACACUUUAUACUUGUAAAAAUACUUUUUACGUUUUAUACUCACUUGUGUACUUAACUUGUGUCUUAUGUACAAAAUACUUGUUAAUUAUACUUGUAGUUUGUAAUUCAUAGUUACUUGUUUAUUUUUUUUGUAUUUCUUUGUUAAUAUUAAGUUACUAACUUUAUUUAAUGUAGGUACCGUCUGGCUGCAAGACGUAAAAUACAAGCGCUGCUUGGGAGGCAACCCAAUUCAGAAUAUAAUCAGAUUUGCUUUCUCUUCCCCUUUUACUCCUCCAUUUUCUUUUUGUUUUAGUAGUUAUUUUCGUAAAUUCCAUCCCUAUAUGCUUACUUAUUUCAUUGCAUGCUUUUAAUUGAUUACAUUGAGGAUAAUGCAAUAUUUAAGUGUGGGGGAAGGGAUUUAUAUUUUUGUCUUUCAUUUUGAAUCCUAUAAAUAUUUUUGUCUUUCAUUUUGAGUCCUAUAAAUAUUUUUGAGUCCUAUUUUAUUUUUAAAAAAAAAAAAAAAAAAAAAUAAUAAUAAUAAUAAUAAUAAUAAAAUAAUAAUAAUAAAAAAAAAAUAAUAAUAAUAAAUAAAAAAUAAUAAUAAUAAAAAAUAAAAAAAAAUAAAAAAUAAAAUAAAAUGCAUUCAUUCAGUCUUAUUAAAUUCAGCUAUUUACAAAAAAAAAAAAAAUAAAAAAAAAAAAAAAAUAAUAAUAAUAAUAAUAAUAAUAAUACUCUAUACUAAGCCAUGUCUGCAUCUCUGUAGGAGUUGAGGCUGAGCUCAAGGGAAAUGUGAGAGCCACCGCCAUAACCGCUACCUCUCUCGGAAGUAGUCUUCAUGAUGCCCAAGAUGUCCUCACCAUGCAUGGGGAAUAGUGGAAGGGUUUCAAUCUCCUGGUGAUCUCCUCCUCGUUGUUGCAGGGAUGUUUGUCCUCCUGUUGUGCCAAAAGAGUUGUACUGGUAUUAGUGUUGAAGUGUGAGGAAGAAUAUGAAACAAAAUUUAAAUCAAGAAAUCCUUCAUUACCAGUAGAAUCGGUGGAACCAAAGUUGAGAUUAAUGGAUCUACCAUCAUCAGUAGAACUAGUGGACCCAAAAUUGAUGUCAAUGGAUCCACCAGCUGGCCCAAAAUUGAUGUCGAUGGAUCCACCAGCACCAGUAGAACCAGUGGACCCAAAAUUGAGAUCAAUGGAUCCACCAGUACCAGGAGAACUAGUUCCCAUGGGCACUUGAGCAGCCUGAUUGCACCUCUUCAUCUGCUUCUCUCGAGCCCUGACAUUCUGGAACCAAAAAUAAAUGUUCUUGCCCUCAACAUGUCCAUACUGGUUCAGCUGGAGACAGAUCUCGUGAAUGUGCUCUGUAGUUGGGCACUUAACUCCCUUGUCGUAGUAAAGAUCCUUGAGGAUCCUUAUUUGAUCUGGAGUAGGAACCCACCUGGCACGGCUUCGCCAGAAAUCUGUGUUGGCACUACUCCCGGCUGCUUGGUUGUUUCCUCCAUCCUCGAUUUGUUGCUGGGUUUGUAGCUCCAUCAGUUGCAGAGUUCGUGGUUCCAUGGUAAUGGGUUGAGGGGAUGUGAAGAUCGAAGAGUAAAGUUGUCGAGUGUUUGAAGGAGUUGUUGUUAAAGGGAUUAAGGAUGAUGAUGGUGUGUUGGAGAUCUGAAAGUUCAGAGGAAAGAUGGGAUUGAAUCAACUAGAUGGGAGAGAAGAUCAGAAGAGAAGGAUUGAAUCGAAGAAGAAAUAUUUUGAGUUUUGAAAGAAGAGGAAAAGCUGAAGAGUUGGGAGAGAGGGGCUGGAACUCAGGAGAGAUUUUCGUUCCUUUGGAGUGAACAGUUGCGCCCUCAGAAUGCACCUAUUUAUAGAGCGAGGUGAGCAGAUCUCCACCGUUGGAUGGACGAUUCCUGUGAUUCAUUCUACGCGUUGGAUUAAAGUCGCCCUGAAACCCGGAAAAGUUGUUGGCGCGUGGAGAGCGUGUAAGGGGACCGAGGGAAUCUCGAGGCGCUGUGGCAGACAGCUGUAGCCGAAAGCAGAUUUGACUGCCGUAAAUCACGGAAGGGAUAAGCCGUGACACAAGUGGGCCGUACUUGGGCCUGUCUCGGAUCAAGGCAUCACUGUAGCUGUGGGUAGAGGCCUGAUGGGCCGAGUUUCAGAAACAGUUUUGGACAUGAUGGGCCGAGUUUCUGAAACAGUUUUGGAUGAGUUGGGCCGGAUUUCUGUAACAGUUUUGGAUACGUUGGGCUGGGUUUCUGCAACAGUCUUGGAUGUUUUGUGCCGAAUUGUUGAAACAGUUGAAACAGUUGGUUUAAAUAAAAGGAUUGGUAUGGAUAAUAACGUGAGCAGCCGUGCUCGAGUGGUUGAGUGUAAAGUUCGUGUACAAGAGGUCUGAGGUUCGAACCUCGCCUCUCGUUUAUUUUUAUUAUGUUCGUUUAUGACAUAAUAAGUAUAAAAUUUGUACACAUUAUAUUAAGCACAGCUUGUGCUCCAGUGGUUGGGGACAAAGGUUUCGUGCAGCAGGUUAAGGUUUCGAACCUUGCCUCCCCCGUUUUUUUUUAUUUAUGUCACUCCAUCAGAACCCUCCUCCGAAGGCUGAAACCAGCAAGAAGGCUGCCACUCGCCCGCAUACCGCUCCUCCAAAGGAGUGAAUGGAGGUACAAGUCUAGGCUGAAAGACUUUAAACAUUAAGCGCUGCAUGGGAGGCAACCCAUUUCAACCGUAGCUGUGGAGGAGCCAUCAACGCAGAUUUGCUCUCUUAAACUCUAUCUCCUCUAUUACUAUUUUCUGAUUGUAUCUUUGUUAUUUGCGUUUUUAGUUUUUGUUUUUAGGUUUUCUUGAGUUAAUCAUUCCAUUCACAUGAUAAUUGUUCAUUGCAUGCUCUAACUUGUUUAACAUUGAGGACAAUGUAUGAUUUAAGUGUGGGGGGAAGGAUUAAUGCUUGUAGUUAGUUUUUGUCAUAAAAAGAAAACAAAAUAAAAAAUCAGAAAAAUCAGAAAAUUAAAAAAAUUAAAUUAAAAAAAAAAAAAAAAAAAAAAAUCGUUAACUUUGUUUUAGGUUUUAUAUUCAUGUUUUGGUUUUUGUUUAUCUUUGUUCUUUAGUUUGUUUGUUUUGUUUGUUUGUUGUUAGAGUCAAAAUGAAUUUUGGGUAAAUAUCUUCUUCAUCGUAGGCGCAUCCAAUGGGAUGUGAUGUCUAAAGGUCUAGUUUGGAUAUGAGAAGUGCUGACAAAGGGUCUCGUCCCCUGUAAAUCAAGUGAGCUGAGCUCCGCCAAAAUCGUUCCUCUCUUCACCUGGUCAUGUUCCAAAGGAGUUACCGAAAGGAGAAGAGAAAUAUCCCUAAGUCCAAAACGUUUUUUUUCUUGUAUGUUGCAUCACUUUAUGUGUUGUUCUUGUUUUUGUUUUGUUUUGAGUCUUAGGAUGCCUUUCAACUGUCUGGGAUGAUUCUAUAUCUCUGAAAUCAUGACUAAAAGAGGAUCACAACAUUGAGAUGAUUUUAACAUGGUAUUCUUUGGUUAAUUGAGAUAUAUGAAAAAUGUAUGCACUUGUAGUGGAUAUGGAUUGCAUGACCUUGGUACAGAAUAUGAGCAUGUUAAGAUGAGUUGUGAUUCAUAAAAUCCAUGUGAGAUAAUUGAACCAUGUCCCUUUUUCUUGGAGUGAAAUGAAAAAUAUAUUCUUAAUUUCUUGGCGAUGUUUUGAUGAUCUCAUUAUUCUUUCAUCUUGAUUGACUGCUUGCCAUAGAUUAAGUUUAAUUGACUAGAGAAUGCUAGAAUUCGCUCUUGUGCUUGUUGAGACGUGAUAUCAAUACAUGGCCCUGAUUCUGGAAGGGAUAGAGGUUCUCUAGGAAUUACCACCAUUGCUAAAUAAACUUGUGUCCCCAUUUGUGCCCGUCGUGGGACCCCCCUAGAUAAACCCCUUUGAGCCUACAUUAAGCCUUUUCUUUCAUCACCCUAAAAAUCCUUAACCCCUGAACCUUAGUAUAGUGAUAAUCCUACCCUUUGUUCUAAAAACUUAGUGGAGCUAUCUUUUGAGACAUACUACAUGGGUUUGGUGCUAAGGAUGAAGAUUGAGAAGAGGUGAAAGUUCAAGUGUGGGGAUAGACUUGUCCAUAAAGAAAAAGAUAUGUUGAAGCCGUGAAAAAAUGAAAAGAAAAGAGAAAAAUUGUGUACGGCUAAAAAGAAAAAGAAAGAAAAAAAAUAUAUAUGUUUAUGGACUUUCAUCCCCCAUACUUAGUGAUUUUGGAGUUUGCUUUGAAUUGAAGGCCCACUACAGAAAAAUUUGACCUUUGUCCAUUUCACUAGAGUUCAAAGGAAGUUUAGAAGGAAGGUUGGGCCCAACAUGAAGACAUUAGCCCUUUUAUUUUACCUCUAUGGGUGUGGCGUUUUGAGUUGGUGGAUUUCUAGAAGUCUCUCUACAUCUGCAUGAGCUCUGCUAGGUUUUUAGGAUACUUUGACAUUCCAUACCUUUCAUUUCUGAAAACUUUGAGCCUUAGCCCCAUUACAACCCUUUGAGAAGACCUUCUUGAUCCUUAAGAUGGGACAGCCUUUGAUGUGGAGAUGAGUUACAAGAGUUGAACCUAUGGCUUGGGUCCAUUCGUGCAAGUAGUUGAUAUCCUUCAUGAGAUCUUUUGAAAAAAAAAUUAUAUUCACAAAGUGCUUUUCGUUUCUUAUAUAUGUGAGCUAUUUGACUGCCUUAAAAUAUGUUCUCUCACAUAUAAAUGAGUGAUUAUAAGCUUUUAAGCAUUGCCUUGAUCUGAGAGAAGAAAUAGUGGAUAUACCUUGUGAGGAUAUGAAUCAUACUUGUCUGAAGCAUGCUAAGCUAAACCCCAUCACCAUUGUUACAACCAAGUCCUACUUGUGUAUGUGUGGAUCAUAUGUUUUAAUUAACUCUCGAAUGCUUAACAUUGAUUCUUGGUUGAGUGCUAAUCUUGGUGUUGUGAAAGUAAGAGAUUUCUGAGACAAUAUGUUAAAGGGCAAUAGAGGUCUUUGUGAUGUCAACAUCUUGGUCUUUGUCUUUGAAUUUACUCUUUUAUGUGUGACAUUUUUUUCUUUGUGUUUUGCUUUGUGUUUUACGUUUUUGGUUUCUUUGAGUCUUUGUGUUUUUGUUUCCAUACUUAGUCAUUUUUUUUCGUUGGUUUCUUUGUUUUGUGUCAUAGUCUUUUUGGUUUGUUAGUUUUUGAUUUUGCUAAGGGACUAGCAAAAGCUAAGUGUGGGGGAAUUUGAUAGGAGCAUUUUAAAGUGGUAUUUUAAUAGUUAAUUCCUCACAUUUUGCUUAGUUAAUUCCUUAACGAAUCGAUUUUUAACUCAAUUUCUAUUUUCUUAGGUACAUUGGAGUAAAUGAUGGUGAAAUGAGCAUUAGGUCCACACUUACCUAUAAAUGGUGGAGAAAAAUGGAAAUGUACUAAAAUGUCAAUUUUACACAUUUCCUACUCCGGCUAGGAGAAACCAAGCCAAGCAAGGAAGAAGGAGCGGCCGCCGGACCAAAUGAACUUCAAAUGAGCUGAAACUUUCCAGAUCCAUUCUACACAUCCUAAGGAUCAUUUCUUAUGAAGAGUGCCAGAGCUAUAAUUGAGUGGAAGGCCUUCAAACAGUCAGCCCAAUUUCCUGCAGAAGCAAAACUGGAAAACUGGACCUGUAAGAGGUCCAGCAGCAUUUCCAGCCCAAAGGCAUGGAAAUAAAUUCUGAAAUUUUACCAAAAUGAUCUACACUCAUGGUAGAUCAUUUCAUAUGAAGAAGUCACGAGCCAAAACUGAAUUCCUGUUGGAGAAAUAAUUGAAGGAACAAAAGGGCAGAAACUGACCUAAAACAGCUCAACACCACAUGUUCAAGUUUCCUACCCACAUGAAGAAAGCUAGAUGCUUUUCUCUUUUUCCUUGGAUAUAUUUUUCUGCUCCAAUAGAUCAUCAUCACUUCCAUACUUCUGCACCUUCAUGCCUUGCUUUCAUUUCAUCAUUACUCCAUCUUUUCCAUAUUUUACAAACCACUUUCAUUAUUUUUCUUCCAUUUAUCAUUUCACUCUUCUUUUUCUUCCCUAUAUAAACACCUUCUCCUCUCACUCUAAGUACCUUCCUUCAUCCAUUUCAUCUUCUUUGUCUCUCCAUUUCCAUUCCAUUUUUCUCUCCAUUCUCUAGUUGCAAAAUUCUGCGUUUUCAAGUAAGAAGAAGAAGAAGAAGAAGGAGCCGGGAAUAUCAUAUCCUCCAUCGUCCACCUUGAAGGCUUGCUUCCAAGAUUCAAGAUUUCAACGUUUCAAGCACUCCAUCUCCAUCUCCAACUCACGGUGUGUACCCUCAAUCCCCGGAAUAGAACGAUCCCUAUUUGCUUAUACUACUAACGAUGUUUUCAGGGUUAAAUUAUGCGCUUGCUUUGAGCGUAUCAGUCGGAGGGCUGGGGAAUGGCAGACUGGUCCGCCUGCUCCUCAGCGUUUCCUUCGCUACCGUUAGUCAUGGUGGAUGUGGUGGGAUGACCUUUUGUUCAAGGAUUCCCACAGACGGCGCCAAUGUUAAUGUCUAAAAGUCCGGCGGUAGCUGAACCUUUGUUAACGCUGAUCCGAUGGGCGG